CCUACGGGCGGCAGCAGUGGGGGAUAUUGCACAAUGGGGGAAACCCUGAUGCAGCGACGCCGCGUGGGUGAAGAAGCGCCUCGGCGCGUAAAGCCCUGUCAGCAGGGAAGAAAAUGAAGGUACCUGAAGAAGAAGCCACGGCUAACUACGUGCCAGCAGCCGCGGUAAUACGUAGGGGGCAAGCGUUAUCCGGAUUUACUGGGUGUAAAGGGGGAGCAGACGGCGCUGCAAGCCAGGAGGGAAAGCCCGGGGCCCAACCCCGGGACUGCUCUUGGAACUGCGUGGCGAGAGUGCAGGAGGGGCAGGCGGACUUCCUUUUGUAGCUGUGAAAUGCGUAGAUAUCAAGCGGAAUUCUCAUUGCGAAGGCGACCUUCUGGAACCUUCCUGCCGCUCAUGCACG
rnacentral:rRNA from 1 species